CUGCUGAGAAGAGAUCAGGAGAUCCCACAAUUAAGACAUAAUGGGCACUGGGCAGCUAGGGGGCUGGGUGGAUGGAGAGCCAGGCCCAGAGACAGAGAGCUUAGAAGAGAGAGGGAGAGGAGGAGCAGAGGAGCUGGGGCAGAUGGAUUGUUUUUCAGUAAAUUUUCAAAGAAGGAGGUGAGAGUGAAUGCAUCCAGCAUGGGAGGCAUUUGUGAGGAGUGCAAGGCUGGGGAGAGACGGGGGGCUCCUGGGUGCCAAUAUGACCUCAGACGCUUCCUAGCUGGGUGACCCUGGCCAAGUCAUUUGACCGCCAUUGCCUAGCCCUCACCGCUCUUCGGCCCAAGAUGGGAGGCUCCGCAGCAGUGAGGACCCACUGGAGAUGAGGUUCACAGCAAACUGUGAUUCCCAGGAAAGGUGUUGGGGGCCAUGAAAAGCUGAGGGCCGAGGGAGCCAGUGCAGGCAUGGCGGGAGGGGAGGGGUAGCCUGGGAAAGGGGAAGGAGCCCCGUCUCCGGGUUGAGGAGCUUGAGAAAAGAAGCCUCUGUGAGUGAUGGUCAGGUCUCUAUGCGCGCGCGCGCGCGCGCGCGUCUCUGUGUGUGUGUGUGUGUGUGUGUGUGUGUGUAUCUGUGCGUCUGUGUCUGUGUCUGUGUGUGUGUGUGUGUGUGUGUGUGUGUGUGCGCGCGCGUGACUCACGUGGAUUUCAGGAGGAGGGGGAGGUCAUGGGAACUGAUCAGAGCUGGAACGAGUGAGUUAGGGUUAGAGGUCAGCGUGCCUGCGGGGGUCCCCCGUGUACCGGGUAUAUAUAGGGGAGUGCCAGCUUGGGGAGGACAGCCUGCCAGACGAGCUGGGAGUUCGGCUGAGAAGGAAGCAGAAGUGGGUUGUGUGGUUCGGAAUCAUGUCCCGCAAAGGCAAGAGCAGCAUCUCUUCCAUGAACGAGGAGGAUGCCCUUGCAUUUGCGUCUGAAGAAGGGAAAGGCGAUGAUCUGCAGGAAAUCAAGAAGGAGCUGGUGAAGAUCGAGGAGAAGGUGGAUGCCCUGCUGGCCAGCCUAGAGCAGAUGGAGAGUGAUCCCAGUGAGCAGUGCGAGCCCUAUGUGAGAAGCAGGCCGGAGGAGGAGAUGGAGAGCAACGCUGGCCUGCAGGAGACCGAGGCCAACAUGGAGAUGGAGGAGACCGGAGGAGGUGGAGGAGGCGAUGGUGCCGCUGGUGCUGCCGGGGCCAGUGGAAGUAACCGUGCUUAAGAGGGGCCCGCCUGGAGGAGGAGGACAAGGAAGAUCCAGGCAGGGAGGACCGGCUGGGCUGGCUCUAGGAUGACGGAGGAGCAGUGGUGGUGGUGGCAGCAGCCCUGGAGGAGCCAGAGGGCAACAGAGAUCCCAUGGAGGCGAGCUGUGCUCCUCAGCACCUGUGGGUCCCAGUCUGAAGGCUCGCCCCUUCUUGGCACAGCUAGGCCCUUGUCCCAGAGCCAGCCUCCCCAGGUCCUCUCCCGUGAGAUCUUGGAGCAUGUGCUCCAUGCUGUCCUCACCCCUACUCUCCCCAGGCUCAUUAGCUCCCCUCUCCUACAGGUGGCCCCUUUCAACUCUCCUUGAGAGUCACAGUAAGGCCCCUGUAGUUUUGCUCACUUAAAUCUCAUCACCUUUUUCUGGUUCAAGAAAUAAAAAGUUCUAUUGCUCUGUUGGUAGCUUGUUU
rnacentral:lncRNA from 1 species